ACGAACGCUGGCGGCAUGCCUAACACAUGCAAGUCGAACGAGACCUUCGGGUCUAGUGGCGCACGGGUGCGUAACGCGUGGGAACCUGCCCUUAGGUUCGGAAUAACUCCCCGAAAGGGGUGCUAAUACCGGAUAAUGUCUUCGGACCAAAGAUUUAUCGCCUUUGGAUGGGCCCGCGUUGGAUUAGCUAGUUGGUAGGGUAGAAGCCUACCAAGGCGACGAUCCAUAGCUGGUCUGAGAGGAUGAUCAGCCACACUGGGACUGAGACACGGCCCAGACUCCUACGGGAGGCAGCAGUGGGGAAUAUUGGACAAUGGGCGAAAGCCUGAUCCAGCAAUGCCGCGUGAGUGAUGAAGGCCUUAGGGUUGUAAAGCUCUUUUACCCGGGAUGAUAAUGACAGUACCGGGAGAAGAAGCUCCGGCUAACUCCGU
rnacentral:rRNA from 1 species